rnacentral:rRNA from 1 species
UCUAGCUACUGCGGAGGACAUUACGAUCAACACUUCAUCCUGUUGGAUCCUGUGCCCUUGGUGCCCCCGAAGCCUUCCUGGGCGGGGGGUGACUACGCCCCCCUCCCACCUUACCGUAUGUUGAGAAUGUAAUCUUGGUUUUGACAGACCCUCGAAAGUUUUUUUUACUUUCCACAACCUAUCUCUUGCCUCUCGCAUCGAUGAAGAACGCGACUAAAUGCUAUAAAUAAUGUGAAUUGCGGAAUUCACUGAAUCAUCGAAUCUUUGAACGCACCUUGCGCCCUUUGGUAUUCCGAGGGGCAUGCCUGUUUGAUUGUCAUUAAAUACCUUCAACCCUCUUUUGACUUCGGUCUCGAGAGUGGCUUGGAAUUGGAGGUCUGCUGGAGCCUAACCGAGCCGGCUCCUCUUAAAUGCAUUACCGGAUUUCCCUUGCGGGAUUGCGUCUCCGAUGUGAUAAUUUCUACCUCGUUCACCAUCUCGGGGCUGACCUAAUCCUUUUCACGAGGAGUCUGCUUCUAACCGUCUCUUGACCGAGACUAGCGACUUGUGCGCUAACUUUUGACUUGACCUCACAUCAUGAAGGACUACCCGCUGAACUUUAAGCAUAUCAAUAAG